GAUGAACGCUGGCGGCGUGCAUAACACAUUCAAGUCGAACGGAGUUAAUGGAGUUAAUCCUUCGGGAAGCGCCCCGUUAACUUAGUGGCGGACGGGUGAGUAACGCGUGAGUAACCUGCCCUUCAGUGGGGAACAACAGUUGGAAACGACUGCUAAUACCGCAUAAUGUUAUUUGGGGGCAUCCCCGAAUAACCAAAGAUUUAUUGCUGAAAGAUGGUCUCGCGUCUGAUUAGCCUAGUUGGUGAGGUAACGGCUCACCAAGGCGACGAUCAGUAGCCGGUCUGAGAGGAUGAACGGCCACAUUGGGACUGAGAUACGGCCCAGACUCCUACGGGAGGCAGCAGUGGGGAAUAUUGGGCAAUGGGCGAAAGCCUGACCCAGCAACGCCGCGUGAAGGAAGAAGGCCUCGGUGUAA
rnacentral:rRNA from 1 species